ensembl:lincRNA
CUCAACUCUAAUGAAGACAGGCAUGGAUGAUUCUGGUUUGAAAAGGUCACAGUUGUACCAAAGUCUAUAUAAAUAACUUUGUCCUAUUAUGUCUCUACCACACAGCUGCUCUUGAGUUUUUCUGGGGGAAUAUACCAGGAGACCAUAAUCAAGGUACCAGUUUAUUGAUGGCUGUUCUUAAUAAAUACAACUCUUCAAGAAAAUAAGAUGGAAAAUCAAAAUUACUGUCAGAAAGUAUUUUCAUGAACAAAGAGCCAAAAUAAAGAUACUGGAUGAUUUUCUGAAAUACUCUUAUCAACAGUACGUGCCCACCUUAAAGAUAAGGAUAAACCUGCUGAGCAGACCAGGACAUCUCCAAGCAGCCCAUUCUGAUAAAUAAGGCCAGGAUUAUAUUGAACAAUAUUUGCUGUUUGUCUUGUCUCUUGUGUUCCAGGCUCAAGGCAGACUAUUUUUGAUAUAAAAUUGUCAUGUGUUCAGAUUCACAGGGCAUAGCUUGCUCAUCAGUGCAUCUGCAACAGCAUAAUUCCUAACACAUAAUAGGUCUUUAAUAAAUAUUUGUUGAACAAAUGAACAAAUAAACA